rnacentral:rRNA from 1 species
AUCGAACGCUGGCGGCAUGCUUUACACAUGCAAGUCGAACGGCAACGCGGGCUUCGGCCUGGCGGCGAGUGUCGAACGGGGGAGUAAUGCAUCGGAACGUGCCCGGUAGUGGGGGAUAGCGCGGCGAAAGCCGGAUUAAUACCGCAGACGGACUGAGGGUGAAAGCGGGGGACCGAAAGGCCUCGCGCUGUAAGAGCGGCCGAUGUCGGAUUUGCUAGUUGGUGGGGUAAAGGCUUACCAAGGCGACGAUCCGUAGCUGGUCAGAGAGGAGGACUAGCCACACUGGGCCUGAGCAACGGCCAAGACUCCUCCGGGAGGCAGCAGUGGGGAACUUUGGAAAAUGGGGGCAACCCUGCUCAAGACAGGCGGCGUGCGGGAGGAAGGCCUUCGGGUUGUAAGCUGCGUCUGUUCGGGAAGAAAUCCUUUGGGCUAAUAGCCCGGGGGGAUGACGGUACCGGAAGAAUAAGCACCGGCUAACUACGUG